CACGAACUGCGCGAACGUUAUUCGGAAUCACUGGGCUUAAAGAGUGCGUAGGCGGCCGGGUAAGUUAAAUGUGAAAGCCCACGGCUCAACCGUGGAAUUGCGUUUAAUACUGCUCGGCUUGAGGAAGACAGAGGUAAGCGGAACUGAUGGUGGAGCGGUGAAAUGCGUUGAUAUCAUCAGGAACACCAGUGGCGAAGGCGGCUCACUGGGUCUUUUCUGACGCUGAGGCACGAAAGCUAGGGGAGCGAACGGG
rnacentral:rRNA from 1 species